rnacentral:rRNA from 1 species
AACGCUGGCGGUAGGCCUAACACGUGCAAGUCGAACGGCAGCACAGUAAGAGCUUGCUCUUACGGGUGGCGAGUGGCGGACGGGUGAGGAAUACAUCGGAAUCUACUUUUUCGUGGGGGAUAACGUAGGGAAACUUACGCUAAUACCGCAUACGACCUACGGGUGAAAGCAGGGGAUCUUCGGACCUUGCGCGAUUGAAUGAGCCGAUGUCGGAUUAGCUAGUUGGCGGGGUAAAGGCCCACCAAGGCGACGAUCCGUAGCUGGUCUGAGAGGAUGAUCAGCCACACUGGAACUGAGACACGGUCCAGACUCCUACGGGAGGCAGCAGUGGGGAAUAUUGGACAAUGGGCGCAAGCCUGAUCCAGCCAUACCGCGUGGGUGAAGAAGGCCUUCGGGUUGUAAAGCCCUUUUGUUGGGAAAGAAAAGCAGCAGGUUAAUACCCCGCUGUUCUGACGGUACCCAAAGAAUAAGCACCGGCUAACUUCGUG